rnacentral:rRNA from 1 species
GACGAACGCUGGCGGCGUGCCUAAUACAUGCAAGUUGAGCGCUGAAGGUUGGUACUUGUACCAACUGGAUGAGCAGCGAACGGGUGAGUAACGCGUGGGGAAUCUGCCUUUGAGCGGGGGACAACAUUUGGAAACGAAUGCUAAUACCGCAUAAAAACUUUAAACACAAGUUUUAAGUUUGAAAGAUGCAAUUGCAUCACUCAAAGAUGAUCCCGCGUUGUAUUAGCUAGUUGGUGAGGUAAAGGCUCACCAAGGCGAUGAUACAUAGCCGACCUGAGAGGGUGAUUGGCCAAAUUGGGAAUGAGACCACGCCCCAACUUCCUCGGGAGGCAGCAGUAGGGAAUCCUCGGGCAAUGAAGAAAGUCCGAACGGGGCAAGGCCGGUGAGGUGAGAAGGGUUUUGGAUCGGUAAACUCUGUUGGUAGAGAAGAACGUUGGUGAGAGUGGAAAGCUCAUCAAGUGACGGUAACUACCCAGAAAGGGACGGCUAACUACGUG